UACGGUGGGGGCAAGCGUUGCUCGGAAUUACUGGGCGUAAAGGGCUCGUAGGCGGCCAACUAAGUCAUACGUGAAAUCCCUCGGCUUAACCGGGGAACUGCGUCUGAUACUGGAUGGCUUGAGUUCGGGAGAGGGAUGCGGAAUUCCAGGUGUAGCGGUGAAAUGCGUAGAUAUCGGGAGGAACAUCAGUGGCGAAGGCGGCCAUCUGGAUCAACACUGACGCUGAGGCACGAAAGCGUGGGGAGCAAACAGG
rnacentral:rRNA from 1 species